AUUGAACGCUGGCGGCAUGCUUUACACAUGCAAGUCGAACGGUAACAGGCCGCAAGGCGCUGACGAGUGGCGAACGGGUGAGUAAUGCAUCGGAACGUGCCCAGUCGUGGGGGAUAACUACUCGAAAGAGUAGCUAAUACCGCAUACGAUCUAUGGAUGAAAGCGGGGGACCGUAAGGCCUCGCGCGAUUGGAGCGGCCGAUGUCAGAUUAGGUAGUUGGUGGGGUAAAGGCUCACCAAGCCAACGAUCUGUAGCUGGUCUGAGAGGACGACCAGCCACACUGGGACUGAGACACGGCCCAGACUCCUACGGGACGCAGCAGUGGGGAAUUUUGGACAAUGGGCGCAAGCCUGAUCCAGCAAUGCCGCGUGCAGGAAGAAGGCCUUCGGGUUGUAAACUGCUUUUGUACGGAACGAAACGGCUCUGGUUAAUACCCGGGGCUAAUGACGGUACCGUAAGAAUAAGCACCGGCUAACUACGUG
rnacentral:rRNA from 1 species